GGUUAAGCGACUAAGCGUACACGGUGGAUGCCCUGGCAGUCAGAGGCGAUGAAGGACGUGCUAAUCUGCGAUAAGCGUCGGUAAGGUGAUAUGAACCGUUAUAACCGGCGAUUUCCGAAUGGGGAAACCCAGUGUGAUUCGUCACACUAUCAUUAACUGAAUCCAUAGGUUAAUGAGGCGAACCGGGGGAACUGAAACAUCUAAGUACCCCGAGGAAAAGAAAUCAACCGAGAUUCCCCCAGUAGCGGCGAGCGAACGGGGAGCAGCCCAGAGCCUGAAUCAGUGUGUGUGUUAGUGGAAGCGUCUGGAAAGGCGCGCGAUACAGGGUGACAGCCCCGUACACAAAAAUGCACAUGCUGUGAGCUCGAUGAGUAGGGCGGGACACGUGGUAUCCUGUCUGAAUAUGGGGGGACCAUCCUCCAAGGCUAAAUACUCCUGACUGACCGAUAGUGAACCAGUACCGUGAGGGAAAGGCGAAAAGAACCCCGGCGAGGGGAGUGAAAAAGAACCUGAAACCGUGUACGUACAAGCAGUGGGAGCACGCUUAGGCGUGUGACUGCGUACCUUUUGUAUAAUGGGUCAGCGACUUAUAUUCUGUAGCAAGGUUAACCGAAUAGGGGAGCCGAAGGGAAACCGAGUCUUAACUGGGCGUUAAGUUGCAGGGUAUAGACCCGAAACCCGGUGAUCUAGCCAUGGGCAGGUUGAAGGUUGGGUAACACUAACUGGAGGACCGAACCGACUAAUGUUGAAAAAUUAGCGGAUGACUUGUGGCUGGGGGUGAAAGGCCAAUCAAACCGGGAGAUAGCUGGUUCUCCCCGAAAGCUAUUUAGGUAGCGCCUCGUGAAUUCAUCUCCGGGGGUAGAGCACUGUUUCGGCAAGGGGGUCAUCCCGACUUACCAACCCGAUGCAAACUGCGAAUACCGGAGAAUGUUAUCACGGGAGACACACGGCGGGUGCUAACGUCCGUCGUGAAGAGGGAAACAACCCAGACCGCCAGCUAAGGUCCCAAAGUCAUGGUUAAGUGGGAAACGAUGUGGGAAGGCCCAGACAGCCAGGAUGUUGGCUUAGAAGCAGCCAUCAUUUAAAGAAAGCGUAAUAGCUCACUGGUCGAGUCGGCCUGCGCGGAAGAUGUAACGGGGCUAAACCAUGCACCGAAGCUGCGGCAGCGACACUAUGUGUUGUUGGGUAGGGGAGCGUUCUGUAAGCCUGUGAAGGUGUGCUGUGAGGCAUGCUGGAGGUAUCAGAAGUGCGAAUGCUGACAUAAGUAACGAUAAAGCGGGUGAAAAGCCCGCUCGCCGGAAGACCAAGGGUUCCUGUCCAACGUUAAUCGGGGCAGGGUGAGUCGACCCCUAAGGCGAGGCCGAAAGGCGUAGUCGAUGGGAAACAGGUUAAUAUUCCUGUACUUGGUGUUACUGCGAAGGGGGGACGGAGAAGGCUAUGUUGGCCGGGCGACGGUUGUCCCGGUUUAAGCGUGUAGGCUGGUUUUCCAGGCAAAUCCGGAAAAUCAAGGCUGAGGCGUGAUGACGAGGCACUACGGUGCUGAAGCAACAAAUGCCCUGCUUCCAGGAAAAGCCUCUAAGCAUCAGGUAACAUCAAAUCGUACCCCAAACCGACACAGGUGGUCAGGUAGAGAAUACCAAGGCGCUUGAGAGAACUCGGGUGAAGGAACUAGGCAAAAUGGUGCCGUAACUUCGGGAGAAGGCACGCUGAUAUGUAGGUGAAGUCCCUUGCGGAUGGAGCUGAAAUCAGUCGAAGAUACCAGCUGGCUGCAACUGUUUAUUAAAAACACAGCACUGUGCAAACACGAAAGUGGACGUAUACGGUGUGACGCCUGCCCGGUGCCGGAAGGUUAAUUGAUGGGGUCAGCGCAAGCGAAGCUCUUGAUCGAAGCCCCGGUAAACGGCGGCCGUAACUAUAACGGUCCUAAGGUAGCGAAAUUCCUUGUCGGGUAAGUUCCGACCUGCACGAAUGGCGUAAUGAUGGCCAGGCUGUCUCCACCCGAGACUCAGUGAAAUUGAACUCGCUGUGAAGAUGCAGUGUACCCGCGGCAAGACGGAAAGACCCCGUGAACCUUUACUAUAGCUUGACACUGAACAUUGAGCCUUGAUGUGUAGGAUAGGUGGGAGGCUUUGAAGUGUGGACGCCAGUCUGCAUGGAGCCGACCUUGAAAUACCACCCUUUAAUGUUUGAUGUUCUAACGUUGACCCGUGAUCCGGGUUGCGGACAGUGUCUGGUGGGUAGUUUGACUGGGGCGGUCUCCUCCUAAAGAGUAACGGAGGAGCACGAAGGUUGGCUAAUCCUGGUCGGACAUCAGGAGGUUAGUGCAAUGGCAUAAGCCAGCUUGACUGCGAGCGUGACGGCGCGAGCAGGUGCGAAAGCAGGUCAUAGUGAUCCGGUGGUUCUGAAUGGAAGGGCCAUCGCUCAACGGAUAAAAGGUACUCCGGGGAUAACAGGCUGAUACCGCCCAAGAGUUCAUAUCGACGGCGGUGUUUGGCACCUCGAUGUCGGCUCAUCACAUCCUGGGGCUGAAGUAGGUCCCAAGGGUAUGGCUGUUCGCCAUUUAAAGUGGUACGCGAGCUGGGUUUAGAACGUCGUGAGACAGUUCGGUCCCUAUCUGCCGUGGGCGCUGGAGAACUGAGGGGGCUGCUCCUAGUACGAGAGGACCGGAGUGGACGCAUCACUGGUGUUCGGGUUGUCAUGCCAAUGGCACUGCCCGGUAGCUAAAUGCGGAAGAGAUAAGUGCUGAAAGCAUCUAAGCACGAAACUUGCCCCGAGAUGAGUUCUCCCUGACUCCUUGAGAGUCCUGAAGGAACGUUGAAGACGACGACGUUGAUAGGCCGGGUGUGUAAGCGCAGCGAUGCGUUGAGCUAACCGGUACUAAUGAACCGUGAGGCUUAACCUU
rnacentral:rRNA from 1 species